rnacentral:rRNA from 1 species
CCUACGGGUGGCUGCAGUGGGGAAUAUUGCACAAUGGGCGCAAGCCUGAUGCAGCGACGCCGCGUGCGGGAUGGAGGCCUUCGGGUUGUAAACCGCUUUUGUUCAAGGGCAAGGCACGUUCUUUGGCCGUGUUGAGUGGAUUGUUCGAAUAAGCACCGGGUAACUACGUGCCAGCAGCCACGGUAAUACGUAGGGUGCAAGCGUUUUCCGGGUUUAAUGGGCGUAAAGGGCUCGUAGGCGGUUCGUUCCGGCCGGUGUGAAAGUCCAGCGGUUAACGGUGGAUCCGCGGUGGGUACGGGAGGGCUUGAGUGCGGUAGGGGAGACUGGAAUUCGCGGUGUAACGGUGGAAUGUGUAGAUAUCGGGAAGAACACCAAUGGCGAAGGCAGGUCGCUGGGCCGUUACUGACGCUGAGGAGCGAAGGCGCGGGGAGCGAACAGGAUUAGAUACCCGAGUAGUC